rnacentral:rRNA from 1 species
GACGAACGCUGGCGGCGUGCCUAAUACAUGCAAGUCGAACGCACAGUUUAUACCCUUGCUUGCUAGACCAUAACCUGUGAGUUGCGAACGGGUGAGUAACGCGUAGGUAAUCUGCCUGGCAGCGGUGGAUAACAAUUGGAAACGAUACCUAAUACCGCAUAAUAUUGAUUAUUGCAAGAUAAUUGAUUGAAAUAUGCUAUUCAAUCACUACCAGCUGGCCUUGCGUUGUAUUAGCUAGUAGGUGAGGUAACGGCUCACCUAGGCGACGAUGCAUAGCCGACCUGAGAGGGUGAUCGGCCACACUGGGACUGAGACACGGGCCAGAAUCCUACGGGAGGCAGCAGUAGGGAAUCUUCGGCAAUGGACGAAAGUCUGACCGAGCAACGCCGCGUGAGUGAAGAAGGUGUUCGGAUCGUAAAGCUCUGUUAUUAGUGAAGAACAGGUGUGAAAGUGGAAAGGUCACACUGGAGCGGGAUCUGACAAUAAACGGAGGCCUAACUACGU